rnacentral:lncRNA from 1 species
UGCAACCCAUGCAUCAUGCAAAGAAAAAGCUAGUUUCAUAAAAUAGGUGUUCCUAAGAUGUUCACCAAAGCUUGGUUCAGUUGGGUGAGAAGCCUCAAGCCUAAGAUGUGUUAGAGAGCACCUCAAAACCACACAAUGGGGCAACAGAGCAGAUCUAAUGCCUCACAACCACGCGAUUUGCAGGGGAUACAUCAUUUUGUCAUGGCAUUUUUAAGCAAUAAUGUACAAACCAAAAUACAUUUGCCACAUAAACUAAGCCCACAAGGCUGAUUACCUAAAACAACUCUAACCAAGAUGAUGAUUAUGCUACUCAUAACUAUUUUCAUUUUGCUGAGGCAACUUAUUUGCUCCUGAAUGUCAUUUUCCUCUGAACAAAUCAGGUAAUGGUGUCUCCAGUUAUUCAUCGAUACUGUACUGUGUGGGAAAGGACCAAGAAAAAAGAUAGUAUAUAUGUACAGACUUUUCUGACACUUUGAUUAUUAGCUAGGGUUAAGGCUGCACCCCUGCUGACCAAAACAGCAUUCAUCAUCGGUGGCAUUAAUUUCUAGGUAUAUUGCAGUUAUCACAGUAUGAUUCCUGCAGAUCAACAAUACUUCCCACUUGAUCACUAAAAAUUCUAAGAAAAAAAUAAUGGAGGAAGAAGAAAAGGAGUGAUCAUCUUUAAAUUGCCAACCAAUCCCCCCAAAAAGGAGAUUUCAUAAAAGCAUAAUAAAAAUUCAAUUUUCCAAAACAUAGUCUUGAAUGGUGGCUAAAAGACAUGUUUCUUCAAUCUAGACAACCCUGCGCUGCAGAAUACUAUCAUGCCACCAGCACAUGCAUGGGACUUCAUAUAAUACAUCCCUAGAUGAAUUAUCUUUUCUUUUUGUUUUUUUUUUUUUUUUUUUUUG